AUACUGACCCACCUUAACAUACACACAGAGACAAUCAAGCUUAACCAAAGAACCUCUACAGAGGAGAUUACACACUAGAAUGUUUACAGAGACACUGCUGAUUCCUGCUGGACAGACGAACAACAUUCAGAAAUCUCUGAGUCACAAUCGCUGGCAAGAUGACGACACAAGCGACCAAAGAAACCCAAUUUUUUUUGUAUUUUCCUUGUUGAAAAAUUACAAUAACCACUGAAUAUAUUUCCAUAAAUUCAUGUGUAGUUUCAAUGUUUUAUGGCCCUUUUAUUUAUAAUU